rnacentral:rRNA from 1 species
GAUGAACGCUAGCGGCAGGCCUAAUACAUGCAAGUCGGACGGGAUUGAGGAGCUUGCUUCUCAUGAGAGUGGCGCACGGGUGCGUAACACGUAUGUAACCUACCUUAGUCAGGGGGAUAGCCUCUCGAAAGAGAGAUUAACACCGCAUAACAUUAAGUUGUGGCAUCACAGUUUAAUCAAAUAUUUAUAGGACUAAGAUGGGCAUGCGGAACAUUAGCUAGUGGGUAAGGUAACGGAUUACCAAGGCAACGAUGUUUAGGGAAUCUGAGAGGAUGACCCCCCACACCGGUACUGAUACACGGACCAGACUCCUACGGGAGGCAGCAGUAAGGAAUAUUGGUCAAUGGACGCAAGUCUGAACCAGCCAUGCCGCGUGCAGGAAGACGGCCCUACGGGUUGUAAACUGCUUUUGUACCGGAAUAAACCUUUUCACGUGUGAGAAGCUGAAUGUACGGUAAGAAUAAGGAUCGGCUAACUCCGUGCCAGCCGCCGCCGUAA